rnacentral:rRNA from 1 species
CAGCCGCCGCGGUAAUACCGGCGGCCCGAGUGGCGGCCACUAUUAUUGGGCUUAAAGCGUCCGUAGCCGGGUUGGUUAGUCUCCCGGGAAAUCUGGCCGCUUAACGGUCAGAAUUCCGGGAGAUACUGCCAGCCUAGGGACCGGGAGAGGCCGAGGGUAUUCCCGGAGUAGGGGUGAAAUCCUAUAAUCCCGGGAGGACCACCUGUGGCGAAGGCGCUCGGCUGGAACGCGGCCGACGGUGAGGGACGAAGGCCAGGGGAGCAAACCGGAUUAGAUACCCGGGUAGUCCUGGCUGUAAACGAUGCGGACUUUGUGUCGGACAAGCUAUGAGCUUGUCCGGUGCCGGAGGGAAACCGUUAAGUCCGCCGCCUGGGGAGUACGGCCGCAAGGCUGAAACUUAAAGGAAUUGGCGGG